GAAGUGAACCCGAACUAUCUAUAGGCGCAAAAGGACAAGCCAGUAGAGCAUACCAUUAAAAAGACCUCAGAACUCUCUACCUGGCUUAUACAUAACGGAGGGCGGAGACCUACAUGAUGAUCUACGGCCUCGUCCGGCUCGCCGACGCCGACGGAAGAAAGCAACGAAUGUUCUGUCUCCUCUUCCUGAUACUGCGCGGCCUCGUCGGCCUCGCUGCCACCCAGAGAAGGUGGGAACGACUAUUCCGCCUCUUCCUCCUCCGACCGACCAGCCCGCGCGGCCGGGUUAGUUUGGUGUCGGUCCCGCGUACCGAAGAGAGAGACAGAACGAGGAGAGAGCUAGGGGAGGUCCAGGUCGGCGGUGGCGGCUUGCGGCUGGAGGCAGGAGAGGGGGUUGGGGUUGGGGUUGAGGUUGAGGCCGGAGGUGAGGUGGCGGCCGCUAGGUAGGCAAGGGGAAGAGAGGGAGCGGCAUCUAGGCGAGCUCGUCGCGUCGGGUGCCAGUCUAGUCUAGGAGCGCGGGCUUUGGGAUCUGGAGGCCGGUACCGCUGGCCGGCAUCGUGUCCAACCUCCACGGUGGUACCUAAGGAGACGGCCCCUGCGGCGGGUUCACGAGGAGUUCCGGGCGACGAGGAAGAAGGAGGAAAAGGAGUUUAAGUUCCCGUUCGUCGUCGUGUGCGGUAGGAGUUCCGCGUGCCAAGAAGAGAAGAGACUACCUACCUACCUACCUACCUACCCAACCAGCACCUCCUCCUCUUGCUGGUCCUCUUAUCCCUAGGGCAGAGAAGAGAAGAGAAGUAGUUACGGCCGGUCCUUGUUACUGGGUCGGUGGGGAGUUCCUUUCCGUCCUCACGUUUGGGAACCUCAAGUACAUCUCCUUAGGCGAGAGUACCCAGUGUCUCCGGGAGGAGGGUAGUCUUGGCCCGACGGACAACAUACAUGUCGUAUUUCUAAACCUACGUGUGACACCACCAAAGAAGUAUAAUGUGCACGUCGGUCGGCACAUGCAGGUUUGAGAUGGACGGCGACACACUACGGUCGCUAAAGUGGGCGGUGCGGCGCUGGCACCACCACCACUACAGACCGGAGCCGAUGUUGAACGCGUCCUAAACCGGAGACCUAUACCAAGGACACUACAACGAAACAACCGACGAGUAGCCCUUGUGCGGUAACGACAACAACAUGGAAGGGGUUCCAGUGGGUGCCGAGGUUCGAGCUCAGGUACCUAGGGACGAGGUCGCAGUUACUAUCCUAGACCAUGUCGUCUCUUCUUCCCCAAGUAGUAGAAGGAGACUCACCGCCACAACAAACCGUAGCCGAUGUGUUGUCGGUGUGUUUUUCUAAACCUACGUCUGACACCACCAAUGAAGUAUCAUGUGCACGUUGACACAUCCAAGUUUGAGAGGGACGGCAGCACACUGCGGUCGCUAAAGUGAGCGGUACGGUGCUGGUGCCGCCACCGCUACAGGCCGGAGCCGAUGUUGAACGUGUCCUAAACCGGAGACCUACCUACAAUACCAAGUACACUACAAUGAGACGACCGACAGUAGCCCUUGUACGGUAACGAAAACGACAUGGAGUGGGUUCUAGUGGGUACUGAGGGUCGAGCUCAGGAACCUCGGAACGAGGUCGCAGUUACUUUCCUAGGUCAUGUCAUCCCCCCUUCCCCAAAGAGCACGGUCCGUGGAACCGUAGAAAACGACACGGCACCACGACAAACCGUAACCGGUGUUAUCGAUGUCGCUCGAGGAAACGAAGGAGACGAGCGGAGAAUAACGAGACUAUCUACCAAUGUUAAACCAAUCGUUCCACAACAUCCAGCUACCUCCGAUACCAGGGACACUACACAGACCCCAAGUACGCUUAACAACCAAUACAACGAUCACGAUGUUAGACCAACCAAUACAAACGAGACGACCCAAAUCCUACAGAUUCACUCGAUCAAAGGUGACGAGAUUAGUAUAUCCGUAUCAUGUACUAAUGAUCGUUAAGAGAAGACCACAUCCACCAGAUACAAGUAGAGAUCGGGCACACACGACACGACACGAGUACACUCGUCCUUUAAUGGUUCACAUAAAAACAACGUUUACAUAAGACGGGUAAUCGUCUAGUACAACUAUACGAUGUCAUGUCCCCAAAUCAAGUGACUUGCUAGUUACUAGAGAAGAUUCCUUAAGAAGAACAUGCUCAAAGUCAAAAACUACAAGACACGUGACUGGCUAGUUACUGGAAGAUACUCUUCUUUCUUUUAGUGAGUAAGGAUCGACACAUACACACAUAGCUGUUUGUUCAACCAAUAACAGUUCCACCGAACGACGGAGGAUAAACGUAUCUUAUGAAGAAAUAAUGGAGUUGAUCCAGUAACGACAACUACAUGGAAUGGAGUUGAUCGAGUGGGGUACUAAAGAGGUUCGAACCCAGAACAAAACAAAAAGAUAAACCGGAGUUCUAAUAGAAGAAUAAAGAAAACAGGAACACCUCGUCCUAAAAUAAGCAAUGUUAUUCCCCAAGCAGCACGGUCCGAGGCGCCGCGACAACGAAGGUACACUACCACAACAAACCGUAGCCGAUGUUUUUGUCGGUGCUCCUGGCCCUCGAACGUCGUUGUCGUAGAGGCUGGGGAAGGACUACUCGACGUGCAACACCUGGUCCAGGGUCACCUCCCGGCAGUAACCGAGGUGGACGCGGGAGAACGACCGGAAGGUAUCUCCUACUCCUCAAACACCAUCGUAGAGGCCGGGGAGGGACUGCUCGACGUCCAGCAUCUACUCCAGGAUCGGCUCCUCUUGUAAGGGGACCUCCUCCCACAAACUGUUGGACUCCUUACCGGCACUAUAGGAGUGGCGACUGUCGCGGAAGUUUAGAAUCCGGGUUUGUUCGAACUAACUGCUCCUUGGGUUCAAGAACCCAAGCACCUCCGGCGACGGUAGUGCGAACGGUUACCUACAAGACCUCUCGUAUAGAUACACUUCUUUUCUUUUCCGACGGUGUCCUGCGGCGAGUUCCCUUCUUUUAGAUACGACCUCUACCCUCUCGUUCAAAAUAGAACACCUCCCGCUCUUCUGCCUGACUACCUGGAACAUCGCCGCGAACCAACAUUAACUCGAGCAAAACACAACCACAACAAACGAGGAGAGCUCCUGGUAAGUCAAAAAAAAUUCCCUCCUGGUAAGUCAAAGAUUUCUUCCUGUUCUCCGCGUUGCUCAGGUCCUAUUUAUCAUUAUGGACACGACACGUUAACUUAGAGUUCCCCGAGUUAGGUCGUCGAGAGGUGAUCAUCUGAGAUUACAGGUUGCCCUGAUCACAUCACUUUAGAACACUCUACUAAACAACCAACAGAGAUAAGAAGACAUGUAUACUUAAGAUUAAACUCUCUAUACUUUAGAUUUCUACAAACUUUCAACGGUGACGUUAAA
rnacentral:rRNA from 1 species